UCAGUUCAGCGGUCCUAUGAGAGCUACUA
rnacentral:piRNA from 1 species